rnacentral:rRNA from 1 species
UACGUAGGGUGCGAGCGUUAAUCGGAAUUACUGGGCGUAAAGCGUGCGUAGGCGGUUCGUUAAGUUCGUUGUGAAAGCCCCGGGCUCAACCUGGGAAUGGCAAUGGAAACUGGCGGGCUAGAGUGUGGCAGAGGGGGGUGGAAUUCCACGUGUAGCAGUGAAAUGCGUAGAGAUGUGGAGGAACACCGAUGGCGAAGGCAACCCCCUGGGCUGACACUGACGCUCAGGCACGAAAGCGUGGGGAGCAAACAGG